rnacentral:rRNA from 1 species
UACAGAGGUCCCAAGCGUUGUUCGGAUUCACUGGGCGUAAAGGGUGCGUAGGCGGCGCGGUAAGUCGGGUGUGAAAUCUCGGAGCUUAACUCCGAAACUGCAUUCGAUACUGUCGUGCUUGAGGACUGGAGAGGAGACUGGAAUUUACGGUGUAGCGGUGAAAUGCGUAGAUAUCGUAAGGAAGACCAGUGGCGAAGGCGGGUCUCUGGACAGUUCCUGACGCUGAGGCGCGAAGGCCAGGGGAGCAAACGGG